rnacentral:rRNA from 1 species
AUUGAACGCUGGCGGCAGGCCUAACACAUGCAAGUCGAACGAGUGGCGGACGGGUGAGUAAUGUCUGGGAAACUGCCCGAUGGAGGGGGAUAACUACUGGAAAAGGUAGCUAAUACCGCAUACAAUCGGAUGUGCCCAGAUGGGAUUAGCUAGUAGGAGGGGUAACGGCUCACCUAGGCGACGAUCCCUAGCGGUUCUGAGCUGAUGACCAGCCACACUGGAACGGAGACACGGUCUCGACGCCUACGGGAGGCAGCAGUGGGGAAUAUUGGACAAUGGGCGCAAGCCUGAUGCAGCCAUGCCGCGUGUAUGAAGAAGGACUGCGGGUUGUAAAGUACUGUCAGCGAGGAGGCGUUACUCGCAGAAGAAGCACCGGCUAACUCCGUGCCAGCAGCCGCGGUAAUAC